rnacentral:rRNA from 1 species
GAUGAACGCUGGCGGCGUGCCUAAUACAUGCAAGUCGAGCGAACAGACGAGGAGCUUGCUCCUCUGACGUUAGCGGCGGACGGGUGAGUAACACGUGUAUAACCUACCUAUAAGACUGGGAUAACUUCGGGAAACCGUAGCUAAUACCGGAUAAUAUAUUGAACCGCAUGGUUCAAUAGUUAAAUACGGUUUUGCUGUCACUUAUAGAUUGAUCCGCGCCGCAUUAGCUAGUUGGUAAGGUAACGGCUUACCAAGGCAACGAUGCGUAGCCGACCUGAGAGGGUGAUCGGCCACACUGGAACUGAGACACGGACCAGACGCCUACGGGAGGCAGCAGUAGGGAAUAUUCCGAAAAGGGCGAAAGCCUGACGGAGCAACGCCGCGUGAGUGAUGAAGGUCUUCGGAUCGUAAAACUCUGUUAUUAGGGAAGAACAAAUGUGUAAGUAACUAUGCACGUAUUGACGGUACCUAAUCAGAAAGCCACGGCUAACUACGUG